GUUCUUGGUCCAAUAGGUGUUUAAGGGUUACUAAUUCUAUCAUGCUGAAGAACAUGAGAUGCUCAUCAGUAGUAGGAUAUUCUUUUUGGAAAGAAGUUCUUUAGAGAAGGAACUGAUGCCUAUCAAGUUGAACUUGAAAGUUUGACCAGUAGAAAAUGAACCGACAUAAUCUAAUAAACCUACAGAACCAGAUUUGAUUAGAUCAAACUUGGAGCCCAUUAAAGUAACAUUUUUAAGGAGAUCUGGUAGAGUACCACGUUAGCUGGACAGACACUUCAGUGUCUAGGUCUGGGAUGGUGAUCCUAUUGAGCUCGAUGAGAUUAACAAGGAUCCGAUCACCUAUAGG
rnacentral:lncRNA from 1 species